rnacentral:rRNA from 1 species
UACCAGCACCCCGAGUGGUCGGGACGAUUAUUGGGCCUAAAGCCUCCGUAGCCGGUUCUACAAGUCUUCCGUUAAAUCCACCUGCUUAACAGAUGGGCUGCGGAAGAUACUAUAGAGCUAGGAGGCGGGAGAGGCAAGCGGUACUCGAUGGGUAGGGGUAAAAUCCGUUGAUCCAUUGAAGACCACCAGUGGCGAAGGCGGCUUGCCAGAACGCGCUCGACGGUGAGGGAUGAAAGCUGGGGGAGCAAACCGG